rnacentral:lncRNA from 1 species
UUUUUUUUUGACAGCUACCUUUAACUUUGCUCUCGCCGUGGCAGCGGACCGAGCUCUACGCUAGGCUGGCUGUGAAUGGGUGGGGGUGGGAGGAGAGAAGGGAAAGUACGCCGCCGGGGGAGAGCCCUGCUUCCGAAUCCGCUUCUCCCCUCUACCCCCGUCCGGGGCUCUGGCCGUUCGUACUUUUCCUCUCCAUCAGCGCUGCUCCUCCACGACCGCACGACUUUGGGGAAGUAGCUGAGAGGAGCCCCCCGCGCCACUCGGCGAUCGCCUCCCUCCGUGCUCCGGGGCUGCUGCCCCGGGACAAGGAUUGCGAGGCGGUUUCGAAAUCCCGAGCACGCCGGAGACAGACACUCUGUCAUGCCCACAUGCUCUUUAAACGUCUCUGCGUGUGUAUGUUUGUGCGCGCGCGCGCGCUCCGCCUGUCCUGAUUCCGCUCGGCCGCAGUAGCUAGCUGCCGCGGCAGCGGAGGCGCUGACUCUUCCCCCUCCCCCUUUCGCCAGCACCCGCUCCCCCCCCUCCCCCCCCCGCCCCUGCUGCCUUUAUGGGAAACGGGCGAAAACACCGCGGCCGCUCAUCUGGUUCGGUAAACAGUUCCUGCUUUUAGGACUUGCAGCCCUGCCUGGGUGCCCCCCUCCUCUCCCGGAGCUGCUGGGAAAGGAGAACCGAGUUUCUAGAUCUGCCCAAGCUUGGAAGCGUCGACAAACCCCGAAAGGCUGUACCUGCGUAGCGUGUGUAGGGGAGGAGGCGGCGAAAGAACUCCUCUAAGCUAAGGCACAUGUAUUUCUACUUAUCUACUCAUGCUGCCUCAAGGCCAAGAAAAGAAACAGUUGUUUAAAGCUGAGUUACUGCAGUGCUCUCUGUUCCGUCUUUUAAUAACUGAAAAUAUUAGAGAGGCAAAUUUAUUAGGGCACAUAAGAAGAAAUAGGCAUAGAAUUCCAAGUUAGAAAAGUAUUCCAACACAACUCGUAAAAUGGUGAAUUGAACAAGAUGGCCACCAAAGUCCCAGUUACAGUCACUCCUGUGAUUCUGUGAUCUGGAAUGACGCCCAGCAUCUUUGGAAGUUCUUACAGAAAUCUACCUCCGAGGGGACUGGACCAAAGGGACACUAGGAAAUCAUUACAUUAUCAGGGUUGUUUAAAGAGGAGGGAGAACCAGAGAACACAGAUGGGUAAAAGAGAGUAGAGAUGAAUUUGCUUAAUAAAACUAUUCCUUAGCACUAUCAGAAUCGUCUUUCCACUUCUUGUACUAAAUAAUAU